UACAGAGGUCUCAAGCGUUGUUCGGAUUCAUUGGGCGUAAAGGGUGUGUAGGUGGCGCGCUAAGUCGGGUGUGAAAUUUCGGAGCUUAACUCCGAAACUGCAUUCGAUACUGCCGUGCUUGAGGACUGGAGAGGAGACUGGAAUUUACGGUGUAGCGGUGAAAUGCGUAGAUAUCGCAAGAACACCAGUGGCGAAGGCGGCUCACUGGCCCGUUACUGACGCUGAGGCACGAAAGCGUGGGGAGCAAACAGG
rnacentral:rRNA from 1 species